AUUUCCAAGAUAUGAAUAUGAAAGUGAAAUUAAAGUAAAAGAAGAAAAUAAAACCGCAGUCGCCGGCGCCUUCACCAGAUCUAGAUGCUCAUCUACUAAAUGCCCUUUGCAGACAAAAGAGGAAUAAUUGAGAAAGGAUAAACUACUCAAACUGAAUUCGCUAACAAAGGUUUUGUGCGCCAUUUCAAAGAUUGUAAACAUGAGUGCUAUGAGUGGCUAACAGCUAGCACCGAACACAAGAAGUUACUCGUCCAUGUUUACUUUUUAAUACGAGUGAAGGGACAUGACAGACGCACCGACUUUAUUUACAAGUGACAGAGAAACGCACAAAAGGGAGGAAAGGCUGUGGUUGUUUGAGGAGCGUGUGGAAGUCUGUAAAACAUCACGUCCAAACCCUCAAAACCAGAGCGUGUCCUCGUGUGCCUGACCCGGAGCCAUCGCAGGAGCCACAAACAUCCAGAGCAGAACCGACAGCAGACACAGAUCCGCUCGAGUCCGAGCCGGUGUUCGAUUACGCUCAAGCCACGCAGAGGAGAGCUGUAGCUUCAGCUGAGAGCAGCAGCGACGUGUUCGAGGAUGCAUUCGAGUACUUCCCAGUGGAGAGCAGCACAGCUCAACCGUCGUCUGAGAACAAUCCUGAACAACAAAACAACCCAACCGAGAAACACACAAAAGGGAGGAAAGGCUGUGGUUGUUUGAGGAGCGUGUGGAAGUCUGUAAAACAUCACGUCCAAACCCUCAAAACCAGAGUGUGUCCUCGUGUGCCUGACCCGGAGCCAUCGCAGGAGCCUCCACAAACAUCCAGAGCAGAACCGACAGCAGACACCGAUCCGCUCGAGUCCCAGACAACAGAUCCUCAACAUGGAGCAGAGUACUUGCGCUCUCUCUAUGAAGUGGGAGAAGAAGUGGGAUCGGGUGUCUAUGAAGGAAUCAGAAGAUCGGAUGGCCAGAGGGUAUGUUGCUCUUUCUGAAUAAUCAAACUUUUUCUGUGAACUUUAAAGUCCUGACAU